rnacentral:lncRNA from 1 species
AUUCCUCAUGGACUCACCCAUAUGGUGGGAAGAGCUAUGGCCCUUAAAAGAGGGUUAAUACCCCAUUUUGUGCAUGUUUGUGUGCAUUAGGUGCUCAUGUGUGCCUGGAGGAGGACUACCUGGGCUCUCAGAGGCUUUACCUGGCUCCAGAAACUCAGCUGCGAAGUCACAACACCGCAAAGAAGUCUCCGUUGAAGUGCCUUGCCCAUGCAGUACCGGAGUGCUGAACUGGCCCUUGCAGUGGUGGCCCCUCCAGGACUCCACAUUCCUCUCAGAUGUCUAUCAAGGCAUGGCAGUUCUAAUGCCUCGUGGAGGCUGCUGGGGAAACUUCCCGACUCAGUGCACCUCCUGGUAUCAUGACGUCUUUCAAAGCCCUUGUGUUCCCUUUUCCAUCCAGUACGAUCUGAUUUUCUGCUCCUGGACGGAUGCAGCCCACAACUCAAUGGGAAAGUGAAGGAGAUGCCUAUUUCCCUGCUGCUAUUGACAGCUUGUAAACACCGCACCCUGAGUGGCAGCCCUGUCCCCAGACACUUGGCAAAGCUGCCUUUAGGAUUAUUUCUGUUCUCUUCCCAUCAAAAAAAAAAAAAAAAAAAAAAAUCUUUAUCCUAUCAACCUAUUAGCAAUUGGAUAUUUCACUUUAUGUUCAAUUACGUUCCCAGAGAAAGAACAAGUUAUGAAAGUGCCUUUUGGACUAACAUCAAAUGUAUUUCUUGAUGAAUUGCAACCUGGUAAACUACUUGGAAGCUUUUGAAACGUAAAGUCUAUUAAGCCUUUCAAUAAAAUAAUGCUGUAAUGUACUGUACUUUUUUCU